GAUGAAGAACGCAGCGAAAUGCGAUAAGUAGUGUGAAUUGCAGAAUUCAGUGAAUCAUCGAAUCUUUGAACGCACAUUGCGCCCCUUGGUAUUCCAUGGGGCAUGCCUGUUCGAGCGUCAUUUGUACCUUCAAGCUCUGCUUGGUGUUGGGUGUUUGUCUCGCCUCUGCGCGUAGACUCGCCUCAAAACAAUUGGCAGCCGGCGUAUUGAUUUCGGAGCGCAGUACAUCUCGCGCUUUGCACUCAUAACGACGACGUCCAAAAGUACAUUUUUACACUCUUGACCUCGGAUCAGGUAGGGAUACCCGCUGAACUUACGCAUAUCAAUAAGCGGAGGA
rnacentral:misc_RNA from 1 species